AACGCGAAGAACCUUACCUGGGUUUGACAUGGAUCGGGAGUGCUCAGAGAUGGGUGUGCCUCUUUUGGGGUCGGUUCACAGGUGGUGCAUGGCUGUCGUCAGCUCGUGUCGUGAGAUGUUGGGUUAAGUCCCGCAACGAGCGCAACCCUUGUUCACUGUUGCCAGCACGUUAUGGUGGGGACUCGGUGGAGACCGCCGGGGUCAACUCGGAGGAAGGUGGGGAUGACGUCAAGUCAUCAUGCCCCUUAUGUCCAGGGCUUCACGCAUGCUACAAUGGCUGGUACAGAGAGUGGCGAGCCUGUGAGGGUGAGCGAAUCUCGGAAAGCCGGUCUCAGUUCGGAUUGGGGUCUGCAACUCGACCUCAUGAAGUCGGAGUCGCUAGUAAUCGCAGAUCAGCACG
rnacentral:rRNA from 1 species